CCUACGGGAGGCAGCAGUGGGGAAUAUUGCACAAUGGGGGAAACCCUGAUGCAGCGACGCCGCGUGAAGGAAGAAGUAUUUCUGUAUGUAAACUUCUAUCAGCAGGGAAGAAAAUGACGGUACCUGACUAAGAAGCCCCGGCUAACUACGUGCCAGCAGCCGCAGUAAUACGUAGGGGGCAAGCGUUAUCCGGAUUUACUGGGUGUAAAGGGAGCGUAGGCGGGUUAGCAAGUCUGAAGUGAAAGCCCGGGGCGCAACUCCGGGACUGCCUUUGAAACUGUCGAACUAGAGUGCAGGAGAGGUAAGUGGAAUGCGUGGUGGAGCGGUGAAAUGCGUAGAUAUUAGGCAGAACGCCAGGGGCGAAGGCGGCUUACUGGACUGUAAAUGACGCUGAGGCUCGAAAGCGUGGGGAGCGAACAGGAUUAGAGACCCGGGUAGUC
rnacentral:rRNA from 1 species